rnacentral:piRNA from 1 species
UAAACAGACAGCUGUGAGGGAAUCCCACA